UACGGGGGGGGCAAGCGUUGUUCGGAAUUACUGGGCGUAAAGGGCUCGUAGGUGGCCAACUAAGUCGGACGUGAAAUCCCUCAGCUUAACUGGGGAACUGCGUCCGAUACUGGAUGGCUUGAGUUUGGGAGAGGGAUGCGGAAUUCCAGGUGUAGCGGUGAAAUGCGUAGAUAUCUGGAGGAACACCGGUGGCGAAGGCGGCAUCCUGGACCAACACUGACACUGAGGAGCGAAAGCGUGGGUAGCGAACAGG
rnacentral:rRNA from 1 species